rnacentral:rRNA from 1 species
UAUGGCUCAGAACGAACGCUGGCGGCGCGUCUUAAGCAUGCAAGUCGAACGGCAAGAGGUAGCAAUACCUCCUAGAGUGGCGGACUGGUGAGUAACACGUGGGUGACAUACCCUUCAGAUGGGGAUAGCUAUUAGAAAUAGUAGAUAAUACCGAAUACGAGCACAGGGGUUAGAGAUCUGUGAGGAAAGGAGCUAAGGCUCCGCUGAAGGAAUGGCCUGCGGCCCAUUAGCUAGUUGGUGAGGUAAGAGCCCACCAAGGCGAUGAUGGGUAUCCGGCCUUAGAGGGUGAACGGACACAUUGGGACUGAGAUACGGCCCAGACUCCUACGGGAGGCAGCAGCUAAGAAUAUUCCGCAAUGGACGAAAGUCUGACGGAGCGACGCCGCGUGGAUGAAGAAGGCCGGAAGGUUGUAAAAUCCUUUUGAAACUGAAGAAUAAGCGUUGUAGGGAAUGACAGCGUGGUGACAGUAGGUUUUGAAUAAGCAACGGCUAAUUACGUGCCAGCCGCUGC